rnacentral:rRNA from 1 species
AUUGAACGCUGGCGGCAGGCCUAGCACAUGCAAGUCGAACGGUAACAGGAAACAGCUUGCUGUUUCGCUGACGAGUGGCGGACGGGUGAGUAAUGUCUGGGAAACUGCCUGAUGGAGGGGGAUAACUACUGGAAACGGUAGCUAAUACCGCAUAACGUCGCAAGACCAAAGAGGGGGACCUUCGGGCCUCUUGCCAUCGGAUGUGCCCAGAUGGGAUUAGCUAGUAGGUGGGGUAACGGCUCACCUAGGCGACGAUCCCUAGCUGGUCUGAGAGGAUGACCAGCCACACUGGAACUGAGACACGGUCCAGACUCCUACGGGAGGCAGCAGUGGGGAAUAUUGCACAAUGGGCGCAAGCCUGAUGCAGCCAUGCCGCGUGUAUGAAGAAGGCCUUCGGGUUGUAAAGUACUUUCAGCGGGGAGGAAGGGAGUAAAGUUAAUACCUUUGCUCAUUGACGUUACCCGCAGAAGAAGCACCGGCUAACUCCGUG